CUAUAUAGCUAGCUAAGACAACUCCUCAUCAAUCAUCAUGCGUCUGCUCCUCCUCCUUCCUUUUUAGCCUUCUUAGCUGUGUCUGUGUAUGCCUUUGAAUUCCCUCUUCAAUUCCUUGACUCCGCUGUGCAUGUAUGAACCUUCCUUUAAUUAAUUCACUGUUACACUCGGUGGGAUAUGUACGGUCUGACUCUUUAAUUAUGAUUUAUGAUAUUAAUUAACCCUUUUCCCUUUUUAUUAUCCAUCUACAUCUCUCAUCUCCGUCCCAUUCUUCUCUCACUAUAUAUUCAUUCCACUCUUGUUUUUCCUUUCUGCCCUCAAGCUCAAGCUAGCCCCUCCUUCAUUCUUUACCUCUUCCUCCUUCUUUCCUAGCUUACUUACAAGUGUUAAAAAAAUGUAAUCAGCAUAGCAUGCAUGCACCUUCUUCCUUAAUUUUUCUUUAAGGUUUCCAACCCUAUCUUAAUUAAUUAUGUUAUUUAAGUUACGUACAUGCUCUUCUCAUUUUUCCAAUCCACUUGCUUUUAAAUAUGCAACACACAAGUCUUCUCCAAGCUUUAAGUGUGCAAACACUCCAUUUGGGUGGUGUUCUAUAUAUCUUUUUGUGGUUCAGGAAGUGUGUUGCAAUGUUUCUUUUCUUCUUUUAAGCGUAGUAGCUCACAUAUAUGCACCUGCAGAGAUAGUGGAAUUGAGCCGAACAUGCAUAAACUGUCUGGAUUGGAAGUCUACAAAGGAAAAAGUGAAGCUGCCAGCAUGAUCUAGCUUUGGUUAGAGAGCUGAAGAAGAGUGUUAAAUGCUAACCCUUACUAGGUCAUGCUGUAACAGCCUCACUCCUUCCUAUUUGGGGACCCAGUACAGUAGUAGAUUCUUCAACAAUCUGAAAGACACACAACGCUUAAAAAGCAAAAGGUAAGAAGUUAGUGGGCAUGAGAAAAACCACUGUUAGCAUCGUAUAUUCCUUCUUUAUUAUUUUCUGAGUUUCUGUUCUGGAAGGCGUGCGUUAUAUAUAUUAAACUUUUCCCUUUUACCCUUUUACUUGCUUUUGUCUUUUUCUUUUUUCUUGCUACUUCUUUCAUCGAACUAGCCAGUUCACUGUGUUGUGUCUUUGGGACGAAAGUUUUAAUUUGAUGGCCGUAGAUUGCUCCUUAUCUUUACUUAAUUAGGGUUCCUACAACCGAAGGAUGUUUAUAUGUCAUUCUAGUAUCAAAUUUAUUCAUCACUAUUUUCUUUAGAUUGGCUUGAAUUUCUAAACCCUAGAGGUAAUUACUUCGACGACCUUUAAGUUGCUGUGUAUGAGUGCUAUGGAAUCAUAGUUAUGCAGCAUGUGCAGAGGACGUUUUACUGGUUAUUUAUCUCCAUAAAUGUUAAAAUAUAUUGAAAGACGCAGUUGUUGAGAUCCAAAGCAGUGAUGUCGGGGAAGAUAAACACUCUUUUGCAGGUUCAGAAGAUUGAUGGUUGCUAAAUAUGCUCAAUUUUGGUUUGAAAUAGUGGGAUUUGCGACCUAUAGAACUCUCGAUCACUAUGUUUAUGCUGAACACCUACAAAUAGUGAUCCCCUUCCAGAUGCGAAUGGAAUACUAACGCUGAUCCAGGCUUAACGGAGUAGAGUGUAUAGUGAAGAAUGAACAUUCUUGUGUAGUAUUUUACUCUUUUCAACAAAUUUUGAUCUCUUCCACAGACUUCAGUGAUUUGUCCAUGCAGCGUUAACGAAGUAUACACAUAAGUAUCCAAGCCUGCUGAUAGAAAAAAAAAAAAAAAAACAAGUAUCCCAGCCUGUUAUGUAGUAUUUACUAAAUAAGUAAAUAUUAAGUUUAAGUGGUGUUUGAUAAGCAUUACUUGCAUGAAUUUAUACAAUUAAUUGUUUUAAUAGAAGUUGUAUGUCACAAGUCAUAACUACUUUUUUUGAGUAUUUUAAGAACAAAAAUAUUAAUAUUC